AAGUCGUAACAAGGUUUCCGUAGGUGAACCUGCGGAAGGAUCAUUACAUUCAGUAGCCUAGCUACUUGUUUAUACCCUUGUUUUUUGCGCACCUAUUGUUUCCUCGGCGGGCUUGCCUGCCGGUUGGACAAAACUAUAACCUUUUUAAAUCUUCAAUCAGCGUCUGAAUUAUACAUAAUAAUUACAACUUUCAACAACGGAUCUCUUGGUUCUG
rnacentral:misc_RNA from 1 species